AUUGAACGCUGGCGGCAUGCCUUACACAUGCAAGUCGAACGGCAGCACGGGAGCAAUCCUGGUGGCGAGUGGCGAACGGGUGAGUAAUGUAUCGGAACGUACCUUUCAGUGGGGGAUAACGUAGCGAAAGUUACGCUAAUACCGCAUAUUCUGUGAGCAGGAAAGCAGGGGAUCGCAAGACCUUGCGCUGAUUGAGCGGCCGAUAUCAGAUUAGCUAGUUGGUGAGGUAAAGGCUCACCAAGGCGACGAUCUGUAGCGGGUCUGAGAGGAUGAUCCGCCACACUGGAACUGAGACACGGUCCAGACUCCUACGGGAGGCAGCAGUGGGGAAUUUUGGACAAUGGGCGCAAGCCUGAUCCAGCCAUGCCGCGUGAGUGAAGAAGGCCUUCGGGUUGUAAAGCUCUUUCGGCCGGGAAGAAAUCGCAUGGGUUAAUACCCUGUGCGGAUGACGGUACCGGCAUAAGAAGCACCGGCUAACUACGUG
rnacentral:rRNA from 1 species